UAGGGAAUCUUCCACAAUGGGCGAAAGCCUGAUGGAGCAACGCCGCGUGUGUGAUGAAGGCUUUCGGGUCGUAAAGCNCUGUUGUAUGGGAAGAACAGCUAGAAUAGGAAAUGAUUUUAGUUUGACGGUACCAUACCAGAAAGGGACGGCUAAAUACGUGCCAA
rnacentral:rRNA from 1 species